rnacentral:rRNA from 1 species
UACAGAGGGGGCUAGCGUUGUUCGGAAUUACUGGGCGUAAAGGGCGCGUAGGUGGCCUGUUAAGUCGAACGUGAAAUCCCCGGGCUCAACCCGGGAACUGCGUCCGAGACUGGCAGGCUUGAAUCCGGGAGAGGGAUGUGGAAUUCCAGGUGUAGCGGUGAAAUGCGUAGAUAUCAAGAGGAACACCUGAGGUGAAGACGGGUUGCUGGGCUGACACUGACGCUGAGGCGCGAAAGCUAGGGUAGCAAACGGG